ACUCGUAUGGCAUUUAGAGAAAUGAACAACAAUAUUCCACCGACCACAUUUGAAAUGUUCAUUCGCCGCAAACGAUCGGAGAAGUGUUAAAAUCUAGUUCAAUAAAGGCUCUCGCAAUGUGGGACGAUGAUGAAUGGUUGGGUGGCUUCUUACCUCGAGCGUCUUGACACGAAAUCAUCCAACGAUCUCCACGUGUAUGUUUCCCAUAGUGAUGACUCUCUUGAUUUUGACUUCUACCUCGCUUCCCAUAUCGAUUGAGCGAUUAGCAUGAUGAGAGUAAAGCUGAAGCCUGUGUGAAUGCAAGCGAUUUUAUUGUACCAGGCUAUGCAAUGGAUUAAAAGAUGAGAACACAGGAACUCGUUCGGUGAAGUCAACUGCUAUAUGUUCCACAUCGGACUAUUAUAUGUUUAAUAUGUUUAUAUCCAUAUCUUAGGGUUAGAGUUAGGGUAUAAAGAUAUAAGCAUACGUAAUGCCCGUAAUAUGCAUUAUACAUUUUAUGUACAAUCAUAUAAUUCAAGUUGUACUGAUGGCGUAACAUUUUAACCGUUCGUAUAAAGAUAACAUAAACGCUGAUAUGACCGUUUUAUAUUUUCAAUUCUAUUAAAGAAAAUGUAUUUAUUUCUUCAAUAAAAAAUAUACAAAAUGUUUUGCCAUGACAGCGGAGUAUUACAUUUAUAACCUAUCUUUAAACAAAAAUCAAGCUAAAAAAUGGAUACUACUUGUCAAAUAUAUUUUAGAUGUAAUUGUGUUUUAUAUGACACCGAGAUAGAUCCUUGUCAUUUGAUUGAUUGGUCGAUAUCAGUCAUUCAGCCCAUUUUACAACGACGUCAUCAACCGUGCAAUUAUAGAUCCAUUCAUCGUGCAAUUUUGGAUCCACUGAUACAAUUUUGUCAAAUGCACACGCGCACCCAGAUUACAGACACCACUCGUGCUUGCAGCGCGCGUAUUGUAUAUACCCAAUAAUCAACAGACCGAGCUUGCACUGCAUGAGCAUAUUUUUCAUCGAAAAUCACAAACUUCAUAUGAAAAAGAAUAUAAUAUUAGGUGUCAUAUAAACCAAAUAAUAAAUGUAUACUGUUUUGAAUUGAAGUACACGGAUGAUUCUUUUUCUAGCAAUGUAAUCAUGGCAAUCGACACGUUUCCAAUUGAGUGAAAAUAUUUUUGGUGGUGUAAGUCAAGUUAAAAUGUUAAGGAAUAUGAUUGAGGAACAUGUAUAGAAUGUUUUGGUUUAUAAAUUCAUAUAAUAGUAGUAUUCACGCGCUCAAAAUUAAAUCGCAAUAUGAAAAUUACAUUGAACAAGGUUUCAUUUCUGAAAUCAGUUAGCUGUCACCGAGAGAGGUCGACAUGCUUACAAAGUGUUUUAUUUUUGUAUAAUGAUUUGUUUUCCUGUAAAAUACAAAUGUAAUGUGAUAGUUACAAAUAAUUGAAAAAAACUAUACCGUACGUAUGACGGCCAUUUUAUAAAUUUUGAAUAUAAUCAGUGUUUAGAUGAUCGAAACAAGUUAGAGCCUUCUCAAUUUUCUUAUCAUUAUGUUUUUCUUCAGCUACCAAGUGUUGUGUUCAUGGUUGAAGUAGCAUAUACCAUAUUCAUCAAUUUAUUCAAUUACUUCAUGCAUUUUUAUUGUGUAAAGAAAGACUGAGUUAACGCAUCAUUUAUUAAUUUUGAGCGUGAUAGAGCGCAGUAUAAUAAACCAUUUCCAUGAAUGGCACGAAUAAAACAUACUCCC